rnacentral:lncRNA from 10 species
UUUUUUUUUUAAGUCAAAGGAGAGAAGGAUUGUGGAAAGAUGGCAGAGCAGGAAGCACCAGGAAUCUACCUGUUUACAUAGGCAACAAUUGCGCUGGAAGAAUCUGUUUGAUGUGACUUCUUUUGAAACUCUGAGGUCUAUUAAAGGCUUGCAACUUACAAAGGAAGGCUGGGAUAUGAAAUUGUGGUAUAUUUUGGCCAAUUUCAACUUUUAUCAUAGUAGCAGCUACCCAUUCCACUUCUCUCAGCCCAUGGCAGGCAGCUGUGCACAUGUUCCAAGAGCAGCUUAGACACAGCUUGUGGGAGGCAGGGUGGAAGAAAAAAAAAAAAAAAUCACUGUCUUCCAGGUUUCAGAGAACUGUGCUCUGAUCACUGAUUGGUGCUUCUGAUCACAGAGGUCCAGACAAAAAGUUGGGACACCAUUUUUGUUGCACCUUCCUCAUUGUUGCAAGCCCUUCCCCCUUUCAGCUGAAGUGACUUCCAGGGGAAUUUAAAGGGCUAUGGCAACAUUCUCUAUCUCAGUCCUCUCAUUUUUCUCUUUUUCCCUCUUUGGAAGCCAGAUAUUACAGACUAGGAUGUCCAAAAGAAACUGUAUAUAUGGGGAAAACUAGACAGUGACCUCACAUGCUCAAGUAAAAGUGCAGGCUCAUUAAACACCUGAGAAGACCUUAACAGUAUACCUCAGGCUCAUCUUGGGCACAGAAGUUGUCUACAAAAAUCAAAAAAGCAAAAAUGAUAAACAAAAAAGAGCAACCUUGAAUUAAGGAAAUAAUCUGACAUACAGAGUUACCAAAUUAUUAGAUUUAAAUGUCUAAUUUUCAACCAAAAAUUGCAUGACAUACAAAGUAACAGUAAACUAUGGCCCAUUCAAAAAAAUAAUAUCAACAGAAACUGUUUCUGAAAAAGACUGAUGGCAGAUAUAUUAGACAAAGACUUUAAAACAACCAUCUUAACAGUGAUCAAAAAGUAAAGGAAGAUAUGGAGAAAAUUAAGAAAACAGACAUGAACAAAGUUGAAAUAUCAAUAAAGUGAUAGAAAACUUAAAAAGGAACCAAAAAAUUCUGGACCUGAACAAUACAAUAACUAAGAUUAAAAAUUUACUAGGGAGAUUCAAAAGUAGAUUUGAGCAGGCAGAAGAAUGAGCAAACUUGAAAAUAUGACAAUGGAAAUUAUCAAGUCUCAGGAACAGGAAGGAAAAGAAUUAAGAAAAGUGAACAGAGCAUAAGGGACUUAUCAGAGGUUCCAAUAUACAAUAUAUUAUGGGAAUCCCAGAAGAAAAGACAGCAAAUAAAGCAAGGAGAAUAUUUGAAGAAAUAAUGUCUGAAAAAUUCCCAAAUUUGUUGAAAGAUAUGAAUAUAAACAUUCAAGAAGCUCAGCAAACUCUAAGUAAGAUGAACUCAAAGAAACUCCUAUCAAGACACAUUGUAAUUAAACUUUGAAAAACCAAAAACAAAGAGAAACUUUUGAAAGCAUCCAGAGAGAAGCAUCUCCUCACAUACAAGGGACUUUUAAUAAGAUGACAGAUUUCUCACCAGAAAUUCUGGAGAUCAGAAAGCGGUGGGCCAAUAUACUCACAAUGCAAAAAAAGAAAAAAAAAAGUUAACCAAAAAUUUAAUAUCCAGCAAAACGGUCCUUCAAAAGUGAGGGAGAAAUUAUGACAUUCCCAGAUCAACAGAAGCUGAGGAAGUUAAUUGUCACUAGCCCUUUUCUGAAAGGAAUGUUCAAGGCAGUCCUAAAUCACCAUCACUUUCAUCAUCAUCAUCAUCAUCAUCAGUCUGUGGGAAAUGAAUAGAGGGAAGUAGAA